UCCGGUUUGACACCGGCAGUCCCCUUAGAGUCCUCGGCAUAACCCGUUAGUAACUAAGGGCAAAGGUUUCGCUCGUUAAGGGACUUAACCCGACAUCUCACGACACGAGCUGACGACAGCCAUGCAGCACCUGUACCAGUUGUACCCCGAAGGGCCUACCCUACUUUCAUAGGGAUAAUCCUGGCAAGUCAAGCCCAGGUAAGGUUCUGCGCGUUGCUUCGAAUUGAACCACAUGCUCCACCGCUUGUGUGAGCCCCCGUCAAUUCCUUUGAGUUUUAGCCUUGCGACCGUACUUCCCAGGCGGUCAACUUAGCACUUUUGCUUCGACCGUGAUACCGUCAGAGGCACCACGAUCUAGUUGACAUCGUUUACGGCCAGGACUA
rnacentral:misc_RNA from 1 species